GCAAGUCGCACGAGAACGCUUCAGCUUGCUGAAGUUAGUAAAGUGGCGCACGGGUGAGUAACGCGUGGGUAAUCUACCCUCGAAUUGGGGAUAACAUCGCGAAAGUGAUGCUAAUACCGAAUGACAUUUUGAAAACAUAUGUUUUCAAGAUCAAAGGUGGCCUCUACAUGUAAGCUAUUGUUUGGGGAUGAGCCCGCGUACCAUUAGCUUGUUGGUAGGGUAAUGGCCUACCAAGGCAACGAUGGGUAGCCGGCCUGAGAGGGUGUCC
rnacentral:rRNA from 1 species